GUCAAGUCAUCAUGGCCUUUAUGCCCAGGGCGACACACGUGCUACAAUGGGGGUACACAGAGGGAAGCGAUGCAGUGAUGCGGAGCGGAUCCCAGAAAGUGCCUCUCAGUUCGGAUCGCAGGCUGCAACCCGCCUGCGUGAAGUCGGAAUUGCUAGUAAUCGCGAAUCAGCAUGUCGCGGUGAAUACGUUCCCGGGUCUU
rnacentral:rRNA from 1 species